rnacentral:rRNA from 1 species
UACGUAGGGAGCAAGCGUUGUUCGGAUUUACUGGGCGUAAAGGGCGCGUAGGCGGCAAAUUAAGUCAGCUGUGAAAUCUCCGAGCUUAACUCGGAACUGUCAGCUGAUACUGAUCUGCUAGAGUGCGGAAGGGGCAAUCGGAAUUCUUGGUGUAGCGGUGAAAUGCGUAGAUAUCAGGAGGAACACCAAUUGCGAAGGCAGCUCGCUGGGACGUUACUGACGCUGAGACGCGAAAGCGUGGGGAGCAAACAGG